AUAACCCUUCAUUUCACACGACCUUUUAUUUUAUCUUUUUUUUUUUACAUCGUCUGUUUUUUUCUUGUCUCUGCUGUUGACCAAAAACCACAUAAAACUCUGUCUUGAAGAAAUCCUCUUUCUCUCUCUUUCGAUUUGGCUUUAGUUUCCUCAUUACAUGAUUCACGAUCUUGUCUCCGCCACUGUUAUUUUUCAUUGUCAGAGUCAUGACAAAACUUUGAUGAAGAUGAUGUCUUUGCGGAAAGGCAGGCUGAUUGACCCAGUCGAGGCCUCGAGGACUAAUUUCAGUGUUGUAUGGUUAUGGUACUUGAAGUAAUCUCAACUUCGAUCCUCCAUCUUUAUUAGGAUUUUUCAGGAAACUUGAAUAAAAAGAGGAAUUUAGGGAAGAGAGGCUGAGGUAAGCCUUGAUGAAAUCGAGUUCAUAACCUUAACUAGCUUCUUCGACAACCAUAUUUGUUUUGAUUUUUAUAUUCAACAUGGUUUUGGAAACAAAGAUUCCUAGUUCACGUUUCUUUUUGCUUAUUUGUGUAUGGAAAGAUGAUGAUUGUGUUUCAUCAUCUUUGUUUUAAAGAUUUUUUUUAAAUAUGCAGCUGGUACACGUGUCACUUUCAACAAGAAAAGUUUUGAUUUUUAUGCUACACGGGUCCAUCUUACUUGGGGAUUAUUAGGUUAAUUUACUUGCAGUUUCAGAAAUUAGAUUACAUCAUUUUAAGUGGUACCCCCAAAAAUAUUUGCUUGAGACUCCAAAAGACGAGCAAGUUGAAAUUGUAAGUCUUCUCUCUCUUAGAUCUUGAACCUUUUAAGCUUUUUAAGAAGUUUAUAACAUUGACUAUGUCAUUUCAGAGAAACGUGGGAUAUAUGAUUGUGUCAUUGUAGCAACACGUUUUGACUUUGUUCAUUGUUUCAGUUUGUAUCGAUAUCCUUUAUGAGUGAGAAACUUGAGGUGUGUUUUUUUAUCAUAUAAUCAAAGUUAUUCCAUCUA